rnacentral:rRNA from 1 species
GUUGAUCCUGCCAGUAGUUAUAUGCUUGUCUCAAAGAUUAAGCCAUGCAUGUCUGAGUACAGACCGAUCUAAGGUGAAACCGCGAAUGGCUCAUUAAAUCAGUCAUAAUUCAGUGGAUAGUGAAAAAAUUUCCUCGGAUAACUGUGGAAAAUCUAGAGCUAAUACGUGCAACUGAGCUUCGACCUGAGGACGCAAGCCCGAAGGGAAGAGCGCAUUUAUUAGAUUCAAAACUGACCGACUUUAACGAGUCGUUUGUCAAAUUGAUGACUCCGGAUAACUUAGCCGAGCGCUACGGCCAUCGUGCCGGCGCCGUAUCUUUCAAGUGUCUGCCUUAUCAGCUUUCGAUUGUAGGUUAAACGCCUACAAUGGCUGUAACGGGUAACGGGGAAUCAGGGUUCGAUUCCGGAGAGGGAGCCUGAGAAACGGCUACCACAUCUAAGGAAGGCAGCAGGCACGCAAAUUACCCACUCCCAGCCCGGGGAGGUAGUGACGAAAAAUAACGAUGUGAGACUCUUCCGAGGCCUCACAAUCGGAAUGAGUUCAAUUUAAAACUUUGGACGAGGAUCCAUUGGAGGGCAAGUCUGGUGCCAGCAGCCGCGGUAAUUCCAGCUCCAAUAGCGUAUAUUAAAGUUGCUGCGGUUAAAAAGCUCGUAGUUGGAUCUUCUAGAUCCAAUGUAUGGGCGGGUAGCUUCUUGUUCGCGCACUUCUAUGCGGUCCUUCUCGAUGGCUCUUCCCUUUAAAAGAGGCUUGAUAUCGCAGUUCUUUCCUUAGUGUUGUUGGCAAUACAAGCGCCGCUCCGCUCUUGCAAUUUACGUUUAGGCGUAUUUGUUAAUUGCGUUCUUGCGACGUUGUCGAUACAUGCAGGGGGAGCUCUUCUUGCCUUUGGGUUGAUUACUGAGCAAGGACGGUAGGAGUGUAGUCUCGAAGCAUAGCCCGUUCGUACUUGGUACAAUUAAAAUUUUGUCGGCGCGCUCGGAGUGCUCUUCAUCGAGUGUUCCAGGGUGGCCGACACGUUCACUUUGAAAAAAUUAGAGUGCUUAAAGCGGGCCGAAAGUUAUGCCUGAAUGUUGUUGCAUGGAAUGAAGGAAGAGGACCUCGGUUCUGUUCUUUUUGUCGGUUUUAAUGGACCGAGGUAAUGAUUAAAAGGAACAGACGGUGGCAUUAGUAUUACGACGCUAGAGGUGAAAUUCUUGGACCGUCGUAAGACUGACUACUGCGAAAGCAUUUGCCGAGAAUGUUUUCAUUAAUCAAGAACGAAAGUUAGAGGAUCGAAGGCGAUCAGAUACCGCCCUAGUUCUAACCCUAAACUAUGCUAACUAGCGAUCCGUCGGAGUCAUUCCCACGACCCGGCGGGAAGCCCCAGGGAAACCAAAGUCUUUGAGUUCCGGGGGAAGUAUGGUUGCAAAGCUGAAACUUAAAGGAAUUGACGGAAGGGCACCACCAGGAGUGGAGCCUGCGGCUUAAUUUGACUCAACACGGGAAACCUCACCAGGCCCGGACAUCAAAAGGAUUGACAGAUUGAGAGCUCUUUCUCGAUUCGAUGGGUGGUGGUGCAUGGCCGUUCUUAGUUGGUGGAGUGAUCUGUCUGGUUGAUUCCGAUAACGAACGAGACUCUACCCUACUAACUAGUCGGCGGAUCGUAACCCUGAGAUGGGAGGAAACCUGAAAGCCGAUUUUGUCACGAUUCUCUAUUCGUUCUGACUGGUUCUCUCGCAUGUGUGUGUGGCUGCGUUGUGGUUCUCUCGCAGUGUAGUUCCUUUUCGUUUUGGUAACAAUUCAGAGAGGCUACGAGUGGGUCGGAUCACGCGUAGUUGCGUGCGUGUGUGUGGGGUUCUUGUUUGGAUCGUUGUUCGGAGUCGUUGGCUUAACGUGUCCGGAAGGCCACUCUUACUGGGGGCGUCCGUCGCAUUGUAUCUUCUUAGAGGGAUCAGCGGCGUCUAGCCGCACGAGAAAGAGCAAUAACAGGUCUGUGAUGCCCUUAGAUGUUCUGGGCCGCACGCGCGCUACAAUGUAGGGCUCAGCGUGCCUUAAUCCCCCUCCGAAAGGAGCGGGUAACCACAUGAAACCCCUACACGAUUGGGAUUGGGGAUUGCAAAUAUUUCCCAUGAACGAGGAAUUCCCAGUAAGCGCGAGUCAUUAGCUCGCGUUGAUUAAGUCCCUGCCCUUUGUACACACCGCCCGUCGCUACUACCGAUUGAAUGAUUCAGUGAGGGCAUCGGACUGGCGCCUUCGGUUGAAAUACUACCUUAGGCUGACGGAAAGAUGUCCGAACUUGAUCAUUUAGAGGAAGUAAAAGUCGUAACAAGGUUUCCGUAGGUGAACCUGCGGA